GAAAAAGAUAUAAUUAAGAUAUGUUUAUACAUAUAUGUUUAUAUAUAUUCAAAAUUUUAAGAUAUAAUUAAGAGCUUUGCUAGUAAAAGUCGCUCGCACUCUUAUUGUGGUUUUUUUUUUUUUGGUGGUGUUAAAUCUAACGUUUGUUUGAAAUUUGGAGAGGCCCACUUUUAAAAUGUAAAACAAAAAUUUUUAUAAAUUGCUUAUUUACUACUAUCUUUUAUCAUUUGAUAUUUUUCAUGAUUUAUUGUGUUUCAAAAAAUGAUAUUAUUAAAAAAAAAAAAAAAAAAAAAAAAAAACAAAAACCAAAACCGAAAGACUUUAGGCAUUUAGUGAUUUUUGGAUUUAGAAAUUAAAAGAAGCAAGAUUUUAGGUUAUGCCAAAUUGUAAUGACACUAUUUGUAAUAUUUUUUAAAAAAUGAGGAUUUUAUUUAUUAUUAUUAUUUUUUAUAGAGAACUGCACGGUAGUAAAAAGGCAGUCUCGAGAAAUACAGAAAACGUGGGCAAGCCCAACCAAAAGAAAUGCCAUAAGCCAAGAGGGGCUCAGCCCAAUAUAUCAGAAAGCUUUUUGUUUUUUUUGGGAAGGUACCAUAUCAGAAAGCUGUUGGAGAUGACCUUCGUGCAAAAUUAGGGCAUUGAAGUUGCAAUAAAGAGUUUUGGUUGAUAAUCUGCAGAGCUAGCCAGAGAAUGAGUGAACUAAACUGGUUUGAUCUUCACGGUUGAGGUCUAGCUGAGCAGGAGUGUCAAUGGACCUUAGCUUAAGGAUUUGCCUCAACAGAGCUGAAGGAAGGACCCAAUUUCCAUCUCUGACGAGCGCACUGACUUUGGCAAAUUGAGCUUCAGAGAUGGUAUGGAUGGAGAGAUUGUUAAUUCUGCAUGAAAUAGGACUCAAUGGCAUUCAAGCAUCAUACUAGAACAUGGUGGACUCUUCAUUGCCUAUAUGAUGUUUGAUAAAAGGCCUAGCAAUGGACCUUAGCUGCGGCUUUUUUCAUCCAAGUGCUAGAGGGAAUUUUGAGAGUGCCCAGGCACGGGAGAGUAUGACAAGUUCUUUGGUGAUGGAGUCUACAACUGUGCAGGAUGCAGUACUCCUCUCUACAGGUCCACUACUAAAUUUAACUCUGGAUGUGGAUGGCCAGCUUUCUAUGAGGGUCUCCCCGGAGCAAUAAAUCGCACCGUGAGUAUGCUUUUCUAUUUUACCUGUCCAACUUCUUUAUCUCAUCUUAAAAGUACCUUGUUGUAUUAAGUUUGCUUUUAUAGUUAAUGACAUUCUUUUGUGUAUGUCCCUUAUUUAAUGCCUCCUAGUGCAGCUUAUGCCUGCUCAGCAACCUUACUAAUAAGGCGGUUUCUGCUUACCAUUGUCAUUUUCUUCUGUCAAGUUUGAAAUUCGUGUAUAAUAAUAUCACAAAAGCGCUUACCGUGUCUUGUUUGUA